GAUGGACGUGAGUCUCAGUGAACUCUGGGAGUUGGUGAUGCACAGGGAGGCCUGGCAUGCUGCGAUUCAUGGGGUUGCAAAGAGUCGGACGUGACUGAGCGACUGAACUGAACUGAUAAGAAAGCGAGCAUUGAGGGACUUAUCAUUUAGAUUUUCAACCUGCCUUCUGGAACAUCAUCAUUGGUUUAGAUUUAUGCUCAAUGCCAGGUAGAUUUUGGACUCACCUCACUGUAUCCUCGUGAGUUUCUGGUGGCAGUGCAUAGGGAAAAGAGAAUGGGCAUAACCAACAUUUAUUUGUAUGGUGACUUGAUCAGAGGAUAAACAGCUACUUUUAUUCUCAGUGCUUUCGGCAGUGAACAACAGAACUGUGGUCUACAAGGGUUAGAGAAACAGGUUUAUUUCUGUCCCACAGCAGAAUGGUGGUGCUGCCUAGUGAUGCAAGAGAUGCUGUACAGUCUCAAAAUGAUGAGUGCCGUUCCAGAAACACAUCCACAUUCCAGCAGAAACAAGGGAAAGAAAUAUUUUAUUUCUAAUGAGGAAGAGGGGUCCGGACUCACCUGGAGGACUGGGCCACCUGGAGGAGGGAGAAUGAAGAAUCUGUGGAGCUCAGUGUGAAAUAAAAACGCGAGGCCCUUUGUUGAAAACUGGAGAAUUUCAAGCUGGACCACAUGACACCAGAACAUUAAACCAAGUAAGUACAGGGCCCUUCUAGAUAUGGGGGCCUUGUGACCCUGCCAGUGAAGCUAGCUCUGGCUGUUAGCAAAGCAGUGACUUUGGGUGAACAACUAACGUUUUUGUCUCACAUCGAAAUUGUUUUUUGGGAGUAAUUGAUCAAUACACAAUCUUGGCAGCAACAUCAAGGCUUUCUUUCAGGUCAUUGAGUUCUUGGUUAUUGUCCUACUGGCCAGAAGAAGAAAUUAAUACCUGCUUGAUAUAUCAUCCAGCAUUGAAUUGCUUCUAUUUGUAUUCCCCUUUCACUGUCAUAUUGAGGAGAAUCCCUUGUCCAUAAUCUCAGGAACAGUGAACUCAUGUUCUACUCCAUUUCCUAACUUAAUUCUAACUCUAACCCCUCCACCCUUUUGAAGUCUUGCCCCGCUCCUUAGAAUCCAUAUGUGCUAUUGUUUCUCUUUCCCUCCGCCUUGGGAUUUCUAGCUAUCUUUUUGUUUGUGUUUGUUUUGGCUGAGUGGCCUUUCUAGUCAAGGCAAGCAGGCUGUUGCCCCAAGGCGUGUGAGAUCUUAGUUCCUUGACCAGGGAUCAAUCCUGUGUUUCCUGCAUUGGAAGGUAGAUUCUUUUUUUUUUUUUCUUUUUGCUGAGAUGACUUUAUAUCUUUAUUUUAAAAAAAAAAAAAACACUUAAAUUUUACUUCACAUGACACAGAAGAAUUAAUUUGAGAUGGGUUAGGUGGCUCCGAAGGUAAAGAAUCUGCUUGCAAUGCAAGAGAGUUCAAUCCCUGGGUGGGGAAAAUUGGAGAAGGGAAUGGCUACCCACUCCAGUAUUCUUGCCUGGAGAAUUCCAUGGACAGAAGAGCCUGGUGGGCUGUAGUACAUGGGGUCCCAAAGGAGUUGGACAUGACUAAGCAACUAAUACUCUCUUAGAGACCAAACCAUAAGUCAAAACCAUUAAGUUUAUAGAAGAAGCAUAGGAGAAUAUAUUUGUAAACUGAGUGUAGGCAAACAUUUCUUAGGACACAAAAAAUAUAGCCAUAAACUAAAACUUGAUAAAGUAGACUUCAUCAAAAUUAAAACUAUUUACACCUCUAUAACAUGGGUGAAAACAUCAAAGAGAUAUUUCACAAGAUAUAAUCAAAUUGGCUGUUUAGCACAUAAAUAGUUGCUCAAUAGAAGGGGAUAACAGAGGAUGAGAUGGUUGGAUGGCAUCACCAACUUAAUGGACAUGAGCUUGAGCAAAUUCCAGGAGAUGGUGAAGGACAGGGAAGCCUGGUGUGCUGCAGUCCAUGGGGUUGCAAAGAGUAAGACACAACUGAGUGAGUGACAACAACAGUGCUGCUGCUGCUGCUAAGUCGGUUCAGUCGUGUCCGACUCUGUGCGACCCCAUAGACGGCAGCCCACCGGGCCCCACCGUCCCUGGGAUUCUCCAGGCAAGAACCCUGGAGUGGGUUGCCAUUUCCUUCUCCAAUGCAUGAAAGUGAAAAGUGAAAGUGAAGUCACCCAGUCG
rnacentral:lncRNA from 1 species